rnacentral:rRNA from 1 species
GACGGAGGAUGCAAGUGUUAUCCGGAAUCACUGGGCGUAAAGCGUCUGUAGGUGGUUUAAUAAGUCAACUGUUAAAUCUUGAGGCUCAACCUCAAAAUCGCAGUCGAAACUAUUAGGCUAGAGUAUAGUAGGGGUAAAGGGAAUUUCCAGUGGAGCGGUGAAAUGCGUAGAGAUUGGAAAGAACACCGAUGGCGAAGGCAGCCCCCUGGGCUGACACUGACGCUCAGGCACGAAAGCGUGGGGAGCAAACAGG